AAAAUAUUAAUAAAGGUAGCAGAAAUGGAAGCUUCUGGUGCAAAGAAGCCUCAUCUUUAUAAUUAGUUUCCUCCCUUCUUUCCUUUCUUCUUGUCCUUAUUCCCUUCUUUCCAACUGCCCUGUCUUCUGUGGUUUUCCUUCUUUUCUUGUGCACUUGAGAUAUUGCAAGUGAUGAGCAAAACAGGUGUGGCCUCUUCCUUCACUGGGCUUAGAGUCACAUAAGAGACAGAGCAAGUAAAAUAUUACGCUACAGUGCUACUGGCCCAUAAUCAGGCAACUGCAGAGUCUUAGGGGGUUAUCUAAUGUAGUCUUGGGGUGGCUGGAUAGACUUCCCAAAGAAGGUGAUGCCGAAGCUGAGGUCGGAAAUUACGAAGAUCAGCUAUAUCUUUAAUAAAUGAAAUAAAUGUGACUGUAUGUCCUACAUCCCAUUCCUGUUGUCUUCCAUGUCUCCUCAGAGGAAGGCCUGAGGAGAGAAGACACAUAGUCAUGCUGACUAAACCAGAUCACCUAGAAUUACCAAAUGGAAAGAUUGUGCCUGCAGCCUGGCCUGUUGCCCACAGCGGUCUACCUGCCACACUGGGAAAGAUCGAGCAGAGACAGAGAAGAAAAGGAGGCUCCAUUUUUCAGGCUGCUCUCCCGCAGGCUCAUGUUUUGUGUUCAUGCCAGGCAGAGAACACAAAAUGUUCCAAUAAAUAAGUAUCAAAGAUGUACCCAUAGGGUCAAGCUCCAGCACAGAGACCCAUCCUGGGAUGCAGGACUUGGUGCCAGGGAAGUCCCAGCAUCUACUUGUUUCCAAAGUUAUUUGGGUCAGCAUUUUCCUCCACCCACCACUUAAAACUGAUUUGUUUCAUACAUUUGAAAUGUAUGAAAAGCCAGAAAUCCAGGACCCACCCUGGCCUGCUCCCUUUUUCUCACCUACUGUGUUAAGGAUAAGUCAAUUGAGCUUCACUUCUCUAAUUGAAAUCACCGUGCUGAUGGAGUCUGUCUGUGGAAAUGAAAGGUGGCUACCAUAAUCUGUUGGGAGUUGAAUUAAUCCUCUGGGAGUGAGGCUGACCUAAUUACUCAGAAAUACUGGGCUUGCUUUCAUUCUGUGGAAUACAGCCAUGAGAAAGAGGCCAGCAUGCCAUUUCCUAAUCUUUUCUUGAAUUGCCUGAAACUCACCUAACAUGAAACUGAGAAGCCUUUUCAUUUGAAAGUGGUAUUUCUUAUGUUUUUUAUCUUUUUGCUUGAAAGUAUUCUUAAACUAAAGAAAGGAGAAACAGAAAAGGUGAAGAAGCCAAGAGGCUGGAGUUUCCUUUUGAAUGGAUAUUCAUCCAUGAAGCUGUUGAUUCUGUUUUUCUGUUCCUCCAGAUGUCUACACUUUUACCUCUGCUUGCCUGAUACAACCACCACCAGUCACCUCACAGAAUAACUCACUCCUUAAGAAUCUGAUCAGGAAUCAGCCUUCCCUGAUCACAAACACUGAGUUUAGAAGUCCCUCCACAGUGUCCCCCGUAACCCUGUGCUACCUCACUGCCUCAUAGUUUAGUGCCGUUUGUGUACAUGCCUAUCUUCGUCCAUGGAUCCAGAACAACUUGUAAAAAUGACUGUACUUAUCACCUUCAGUAUUCAAUGACUAAACUAUAAUUUUAACAUAUCUGGCAGAAUGAAUCACUUGGGGAUUUCUGCCAACACUACCAAUAUAUUACUCCUAAUUUGUAAUUAUUACUUAGCAUGGAUUAUAGUACCGGCUGUUGGAGAGCCAAUGUGGCAGACCCUAAGUGGAAUAAAAUGUCAGUAGCAGUCUAGGAGCAUAUAUUUAUUGGAAUAGAUCAUUCAUUCAUUUGUUCAUUAACUAAUUUGUUCAUUAAAUAAACAUUUAUUAAGCACUCAUGGUUUAGGACGCAUUUUGUCCAUUUACUCAUUCAUUUGUUCAUUUGACACAUUGUUUAUUGAAGUGCUAUUAAGUGUUAACAUUGUGUGUUUAUUGGUGAAUGUAACAGGCAUGUUUCUUCUAUGGGAAUCUUUUAGGAUAGUGGAGAUAACAGACAAUACAAAUGUAAACAUACAAAUGUAAGUUAUGUAAAAUGUAAAAUUAUGAGUUGUGAUAAGUGCUUUGCAGGAAACCAAAAAUGUGUAAUAAUAAAGAAUAAAAAUGAAAAGAUAGGAGGAAGAUGGGGUAUCUUGGGACCUUCCUC
rnacentral:lncRNA from 1 species